GAUGAACGCUGGCGGCGUGCCUAAUACAUGCAAGUCGAGCGAACGGACGAGAAGCUUGCUUCUCUGAUGUUAGCGGCGGACGGGUGAGUAACACGUGGAUAACCUACCUAUAAGACUGGGAUAACUUCGGGAAACCGGAGCUAAUACCGGAUAAUAUUUUGAACCGCAUGGUUCAAAAGUGAAAGACGGUCUUGCUGUCACUUAUAGAUGGAUCCGCGCUGCAUUAGCUAGUUGGUAAGGUAACGGCUUACCAAGGCAACGAUGCAUAGCCGACCUGAGAGGGUGAUCGGCCACGCUGGAACUGAGACACGGUCCAGACUCCUACGGGAGGCAGCAGUAGGGAAUCUUACGCAAUGGGCGAAAGCCUGACGGAGCAACGCCGCGUGAGUGAUGAAGGUCUUCGGAUCGUAAAACUCUGUUAUUAGGGAAGAACAUAUGUGUAAGUAGCUGUGCACAUCGUGACGGUACCUAAUCAGAAAGCCACGGCUAACUACGUG
rnacentral:rRNA from 1 species